AUUGAACGCUGGCGGCAGGCUUAACACAUGCAAGUCGAGCGAGUGGCGGACGGGUGAGUAAUGUCUGGGAAACUGCCUGAUGGCGGGGGAUAACUACUGGAAAAGGUAGCUCAUACCGCAUACACUCAAAUGUGCCCAGAUGGGAUUAGCUAGUAGGUGGGGUAAGGGCUCACCUAGGCGACGCUCCCUAGCUGGUCUGAGAGGAUGACCAGCCACACUGGAACUGAGACACGGUCCAGACUCCUACGGGAGGCAGCAGUGGGGAAUAUUGCACAAUGGGCGCAAGCCUGAUGCAGCCAUGCCGCGUGUGUGAAGAAGGCCUUCGGGUUGUAAAGCACUUUCAGCGAGGAGGCGUUACUCGCAGAAGAAGCACCGGCUAACUCCGUGCCAGCCGCCGCGGUAAUUC
rnacentral:rRNA from 1 species